CCUACGGGUGGCAGCAGUGGGGAAUAUUGCACAAUGUGGGAAAGCCUGACGCAGCGACGCCGCGUGAGUGAGGAAGGAUUUCGGUAUGUAAAGCUCUAUCAGCAGGGAAGAAAAAGACCGUUACUGACUAAGAAGCCCCGGACAAUACCGUGCCAGCAGCCGCGGGAAAACGGAGGGUGCGAGCGUUAAGCGGAAUUACUGGGCGUAACGCGCUCGUAGGCGGUAUGUCAAGUCAAGGGUGAAAUCCCCGUGCUCAACGUGGGAACUGCAUUUGAAACUGGCAAACUGGAGUGUGUGAGAGGAUAGUGGAAUUCCAGGUGUAGGAGUGAAAUCCGUAGAUAUCUGGAGGAACAUCAGUGGCGAAGGCGACUAUCUGGCACAUAACUGACGCUGAGGAGCGAAAGCGUGGGUAGCAAACAGGAUUAGAUACCCCAGUAGUC
rnacentral:rRNA from 1 species